GACAGAGGGGGCAAGCGUUGCUCGGAAUCACUGGGCGUAAAGGGCGCGUAGGCGGGCUGGCAAGUCGGUCGUGAAAUCUCUCGGCUCAACCGAGAAACGUCGGCCGAUACUGCCGUUCUUGAGGGAUGCAGAGGAGACUGGAAUUCCCGGUGUAGCGGUGAAAUGUGUAGAGAUCGGGAGGAACACCAGUGGCGAAGGCGGGUCUCUGGGCAUUUCCUGACGCUGAGGCGCGAAAGCGUGGGGAGCAAACGGG
rnacentral:rRNA from 1 species